GUCAGUCGGCCUAUGUGGUGACAGAUGGUACUGCAGGCGAGACAAUGGCGUGUAGUCAAUCAAGGUGAAUCCAAGUGAAAAGUGACUGAACAGUAAUCAUCAAACAUUUGGAUGUGAUCUCUGUCAGUACGUUGUGAAUGCACAGUGAGACAGGAAAUUAAACUGUAAUGUGAACUUGUGGACUUUUGGCUUCACAAAAGCCGAAUUUACAGAACUGGCUAAUCAGCUAGCACACAUGGAGAGAGAAGACGAGGCCAUCAUAGCAACACGUCCAAUGGGUCUUACAAGUAUGUCCUCCUCGAAGAAGACGAAAGUGAACUUUAAAUGAACAGUGAAUGACCCUUUAAGACCCCACAUGAUGGCUAAUAACAGGGGUUCCUGCCCCCCACCCCAUCCUCCCCGUUCCCCUGCAGAUAAUGAGGCUCCUCACACUGUGUUUCAUCCCCUGUGGAAUGAGAGCAAUGUAAGACCAGAAAGAGGAGCUCAUCUCAAGGCCCCGUCAACCUCCCCCAAUACCAGCUGGAGCCACCAACACACUCUGACAGCAAAAGAGACAAAGAAGAAUGAGAGUCCUGCAGAGGGAUCUCGCCCACUCAGGUCAGUGAGGCCAAGCUUCUCCCUUCUCAGCUUGUUUUGGCCUCCUGCUCAAGCGUCUCUCUGCCUGGGAAAACGUCCCAGUGUAUUCGCAGAGGAAAGGACCAGAUGAUAAGAGAAAGGCGGAGAACUCCACCAGUCGGAGUUUGGAUGUACCGAUGGAGCGGCCCUGCCAUGCUGGUGCUGUAGGAGCUGGAGCUGCUGUGGGCUCAUAACCUGCAAUAAACAUUACAGUGAUAAAAG